CACGCCCACUGUGGUGCCCCGUUUGUCCGACCACGUAUGGUGCUCUGACUGGGGUAAGAGGUCCUUACCUCCUUUGGACCCACAUGGAAAGUAAGCACAGGAGGUCAAAGCGCUGGGAGAGGUGAGGAAGGGGUGUGAGAGAGAGGCCCUGGGCAGGGAGGCAAGUUGACCUCAAGGAGGAAACGGGAUUGCAGACGAUCCUGGAAGUGUUGAGAGGAUCUCAUCAGAAAAGGUGGGAACCUUCAUCCCCCCAACAAGCCCCAAACCUUGGGGGUUUCAGUGUAGAAGAGGGAAUCAGUGUAGAAACUUUUACAAAGGAGUUUAAGGCAACCAAUACUUAGGGAGGUAAAAAAAUUCCUUGUGUUCCACCUUCCCCGGGGAAGCGCUGUCCCCCACUGGGGGCACAGCCACCCCCACUUUUUCCUGAGACAAGACCUUCUUAAACGGGUUGGGCAGCACCACUCUGCCACUUCUUGGGGGAGUUUCCGACAGGGAAGAUCUGGGCCAGUGGCUCGCUGUGGCCGGGGUAACCGCUCACCGCCAUGAACUCCACACCCUUGGGGCGCCUGGGUGGCUCCGUUGGUUCAGCGACCAACUCUUGACUCUUGAUUUCCGCUCAGGUCCUAAUCUCAGGUUCAUGGGUUUGAGCCCCACCUUGGGCUCCACACUGGCAGUGCAGAGCCUGCUUGGGAUUCUCUCUCGCUCAAAAUAAAUAAAUAAACUUAAACAAACAAACAAUGCACCCUUAAGGGUCACAGACAGUUCUUGGUCUCUUCCCCUUGACUCACUGGCCUCAGCUGUUGCACUUUUUCAGUUCAUGUGAAUAUUUUACCUGUUUCUCUGUCUCCUGUACUACUGUGGUCCUCCACCUGGGUGGCCUUGUCUCUGAGAGAGACAUGUGGCAAUGUCAGAGACCUUUUUUGGUUGACACAGAUGGAGGGGGUCCUUCUGGCCUCUAGUGGGUGGAGGGAUGCCGGCAAUGUCCUGCACUGCACAGGACAGCUCCCGGUGACAAAGAAAUAACUGGCCCCGAACAUCAUUAGUGCUAAGGUGGAGACACUAGCUUAUCAGUUCCAGUCGGAUCAUUGUGCUUCCUCUGCCAGCAUCUCCCCCAUUUCUAAUGUGGGAUUUUUAGUCCACUGUGGGUUGGGGAACUGGUUAACCAAGCUUGCUAGGACCGGUUCUGAAAUGAGAAUAAAGAGGUGUGGUAUUCAACCCCAUGGACUUCUCAUGAGUCAAGUGCAUGAACUUUGUGAACCUGACUUGGGCUGGACUGGGCCUUUGGAACUGAACAUAGGACUCAGUGGCUCUAGCAAAGGCAGGGAGGUGCCAGGGACAGGGGUCCUGGGCCUUCAAAAGGGGGGUCAGUAACACACAGAACAGACCUGGCUUUCUCUCUCUGGAAGGUUGGCUUCCUCCCACCUGGUUGGACCUUGGCUCGCUUCUCUUUGGCUUCUGCUCCCCAAUGUUCCAAUCCAUGGACAUCCCCCAUGUUUCACUCUGCUCUACAACUUGGCUCCUCCUGGCCCUCAUCCUGCAGCCAGGCAGAGAACAAUGGGCCCUCUUUCUUUCUUUUGGGUUUUCCACAGUGUCCUGCAUAGGCAAGAGGGUCACACUUGUGACCUCUGGGUAAGUGACAUUUUACCGUAUUUGGUUUGGGAACGUACCAUAUGUAUAACGUGCCAACACUCUGUUCUUGGCUCAGGCUUGCUAAUUCCAGAUUUUUUAGGACUUUGGUUGCAAGGAAUGGAAAUGAACUCUGGCUGGGCUAAGCUAAACAGGAAAUCUAUUGGAAAGACCCAAAAGGUAUCUCAAGAAUUCCAGGGCAGGCCUGCCACUGGGCUUCAGGGAUGCACUCAACCCAGAGACAGGGUAUUGUGGGGGACACGGAGAGUCCUUCCUCCCCUCUCUACCCUCAGCUUCCUGCCCCUCUCUCCCCAUUCACAGCCCUGCUUUCUGGAAGUACAGAACUUGGGGUAGAAAAUAUCCAAUAAAAACAACAGUAGCUGAGUCUAUGUGUCCUCCACUCAGAAGCAACCAGCUUGGGCUGGAACGUGGUCUUGAUCCCUGAUCCCUGGGGAAGGGCUUUGUGGGUGUGCAAAUAAUAUACUAGAUAUCCAUGGUGACAUGCACAUCAAUGGCCAAGGUAGGAUAGUGAAAGACAGCUUGCCAGAGAUGCAGGGAGAGCUCCUGUUUGGGGUCUGGGCCGGGUUGAAAUGAAAGCAGAGAUACCCAGUAUUGUGUGUCGGGGAUGGGGAGGGCCUGGCCUCGUUCUGUUCAAUCUAACACGCUCGUAGGAGAAAUGGCCGUAGCUGCAAUUCCCAAGGAGCUCCCCCUCUGCCAAGGGAGUCAGACAGACGCACAGACCAGGAACGACAAUACCGAGUUGGGAUGUCCACAAUAGUGGUAUAGACGGAGUGCCCUGUGCAUGCCAGGACAAAGAGACAGCUAACUCUGCCAAGUCAGGUUAGCUCAGGAAGAGCAAUGUUUGAGCUGAGCCUUGAAGGAUGGAGUGAAGAAGGACACGCCUGAGCUUGUCGAAAGCCCCAGGAGGCCUGGGUGACUGGGUGACUUCAAAACAACAUCCUUGGGAGGAUGUUUUCUCCUUUCCCCACAGUCCCCUCCCUUUUCAACCCCUGGAUGAGGGUCCUCUUGCUGCUGUCACAAAUUACCCCCAGCUUAGUGGCUUAACACAACACAAACUUAUUUUCUUACGGUUUGGAGGCCAGAAGUCUGAAAUGAGUCUUACGAAGUUCAAAUCAAGGGGGAGAAUCCAUUUGGCUCGGGGAGUUUCCCUGCCUUUCCAGCUUCUAGAGGCCACCUGCGUUCCUUGUCUCAUGGUCCCCUUCUUCCAACUUCAAAGCAUAUGACUCCUGCUUCUGCCUCCAUGAUCCCACCUCCAUCCUGCUUUUGACCUUCCUGUCUCCCUCUUAUAAGGACCCUUACAAUUAUGGGGCCCACCUGGAUCAUCCAGGAUUUCUCAUCUCAAGACUCUUAAUCUCACCAGCAGAAUGCCUUUUGCUGUGGAAGGGAACAUUCCCAGGUUCUGAGAAUCAGGAUGCAGACAUCUUGGGAGUGUUGGUGGGGGCACCAUUUGGCCUACCACAGCCUCCUUCACCGCCUUUCUCCUCCCUGCUGGAGGCAGAGGCACCAAUCUGAUUGGAGAUUGUGACACUCCUGGGGUGGGUGCCUGCUCCCAGCGUUCCAGGUUCUCCAGCUGUGAUUGGAGAGUCCAUUAGGUUUGUGCAGGGUCAAGAUUUCAGGGGGCGGGGAGUUGGAGGCCCCGCCAGCUCUGUGUUAGUAAAGCCAACCUUGUGGGCAGGUCCGUGCUUAGCUCCUUCUGGUUUCUUCCUGAUGGUCCAAGAGCCCAAGGGAAGAAGUGAGUGCCAAGCUCCCUAUGCCUGCCACAGUAGUGGCUGUUGGCUAGGCGGUACGAGAAGUAUGGUGCCCUGAGCAAGACACAAUGGACUUUGUGUUCUAUCCUGGGGCUACAAUUUAUUUACCUUAUUAUUUAUUUUUAAAAAAAGAUUAUUUGUAAGUAAUCUCUUACACCCACUGUAGGGCUCAAACUCACAACCCCAAGAUUAAGAAUUGCAAGCUCUCCCAACUGAGCCAGCCAGGCGCCCCUAUUUAUCUUAUUUUUUUAAGUAACCUCUACACCCAAUGUAAGGCUUGAACUCAUGACCUGGAGAUCAAGAGUCUCAUGCUCUACCGACUGAACUAGCCACGUGCCCCUCUAAUGUCUCUUUUAAAUUUUUUUUUUAAUGUUUAUUUAUUUUUGACAGAGAGAGAGAGAGAGAGAGACAGAGAGACAGGGGAGGAGCAGAGAGAGAGGGAGACACAGAAUCCGAAGCGGGCUCCAGGCUCUGAGCUGUCAGCACAGAGCCCGAGGCGGGGCUCGAACUCACAGACUGUGAGAUCAUGACCUGAGCCAAAGUUGGAUGCUCAACCGACUAAGCCACCCAGGCGCCCCCUUCUUUAAAAAAAAAUUUUUUUUUUAAUGUUUAUUUAUCUAAUGUCUCUUUUAAAAGGUAGCCCCAGUUACCUGGGUGGCUCAGUCAGUUAAGCAUCUGACUUUGGUUCAGGUCAUGAUCUUGCGGUUCGUUGAGUUCAAGCCCUGAGUCAGGCUCUCUGUUGACAGCUUGGAGCCUGUUUCAGAUUCUGUAUCUCCCUCUCUUUCUGCCCCUCCCCUACUCACACUCUGUCUCUGUCUCUGUCUCUCUCUCUCAAAAAUAAAUAAACAUUUAAGAAAUAAAAAAUAAAAGGUAGCUUCGGGGUAGGGGGAGCGGCUGGCUGGCUCAGUCGGUAGAGCGUGAGACUCUUAAUCUCUAGGUCAUAAGUUCGAGGCCCAUGUUGGGUGUAGAGAUUACUUUAAAAACUGAAAACAUUAAAAGAGACAUUAGAGCAGAUCUUAGAAGCGUGUUCAGGAGGAAAGGACUAGAAACAUGUCAUGUGAUGAGCAAUCACAGGAAGUAAGAGAGUAAUUAACAUUUGGUGAGUGUCUAAAUGUUAAGGUACUUUGCAUGGAGGUGCUUUAAUCACUCCAGAAACCCUUGAGAAAAGCACACUUAUCCUCUUUAAACAAAUGAGCAAAGAGGAGCUCAAAGAGCUCAAGAACAUCUCCUAAAGUGACCCCACUAAGGAAGUAGUGGGGCUGGACUUGGAGUUGGGGGCCUGUCUGACCACCCCUCCCAAGUCGAGACCUGAGCCUCUCCAUACAAGAAUUUGGUCUAGAGAAAGCUUUUGAAGCAACUGCUGUUGCCUGCCCUGUGACCAUUCUCCCUUUUUUCUUUACCAGUAGCGCCUGGCAUCAUUUUAUUUUUAUUUGAGGCAGCGAUGUCCAGAUGGAAGCAAAUAAACAGAAGACGUCCUCUGCUCCGGUGCGACUUGUGGAGCCCAUGUGACACAAUUCUGGCCUGUGGGACACGAACAGAAGUCUGCUGGGUCUUUCUGGGAAGGUUUUGUUUCCUUAUUGCUUUUCUUUUUCUUCCUGCUUGGAGUGUAGACUGGAGUCUGGAGGUGCAGGAGCCACGUUGCAACCAUGAGGCAACCCCAAGGAUAAAAGGUACCUAUCAUGGACGGUGGAGCAGAUAGGUAGAAAGGAAUGGGGACACUGAGGUGGUCAUGGAGCUGUCGCUCCAGCUCUGGGCCACCCACCCAGCCCUACUGUAAUGCAAAGAGCUCUCUCCCUCUGCAUUUGGUUAAGCCGCCUUAGUCUGGUUUCUGUUUCUGUGCAGCUGAACUCAAUCCCUAGUAGUAAAAAGGGAGAUGCCAGCUCUCCUUGAACACCUGAAGGACUGUCUUUGGAAGUGGGCUUGGACUUUUCCUCUGUUGCUAGUGACUGCAGAAGGUUUCGGGAAACAGAAACCGGCUUGGGCAGAUGGAAGAAGAACCUUCCAGCUCUGCUCUUGGUUCUUGGCUCAAUGGAAAAGUUGACAGUGAGUCAGGGGCAGUCCGCACCCAGGGGAGAGUCUGAGCAGAAACUGGAUGACCCUAAGUGGGGCCAGAUGCGGAAACAAUGUUUGGAUCAGAUAACAGGCAAAUCGCUGACGUCUUCAUAUCUGAGCAUGUGACAGGGUCUGUCAACACAUGACCCUCCUAAUAAUGAGUCUGCAGGAUUGUAUAUAUGCACAUGUAAGGGAAUAAGCUUCCCCUGAUAAAACAAUUCCUGGUACAGGGGUAGCCCUGGAGGGAGAAUCACAGUGGUUGGGGGAUCGUGGCUGGCUUAGAUAACCUGGUUAUUCUGAUUUUGUAUUUUCCCUUGGGGGUCUCCCUCUUCUGUCAUGUUAUCUCCCAGGGGGUCUAGCACUCAAAAUCUCCGCAGUUACAAGUGGCAUAAAGUCCCCCAAAGGAUUAUUGACCCAAUUAAAAAGUCUUAGGGGUUGUGGUUUUCAGGCAUGACUGGAUCGGGGUGCCCAGAUGCUGUCAUCAGGAACUUUUUUCCUUUCCUCUCUCAGUGCCACUUUUCCCUGAGUGGGCUUCGUUCUGAGGCAGUUUCUCACCUGGCAGUGGCCAGAUGGCAAUGUCACACUUGCGUCACAGCAACCCCAGCAGUGAAACAGUCUUUUUUCUCCAACCAUUCAGCAAAAAUGCUGACGAGGGCUGUCGUUGGCUCAGCGAGGUCACAUGCCCUCUCUUGGCCAAUCAUGGAAGUCAAGGACACACAGUGCUGCCAUUGAUUAUGUCAGAGUCAUGUGCUCCUCGACGGAGUCUGGUGAGAUGUCUGCCCUACCUCCACUGAAGGGAGGGAAGGAUGGGGUCCCACCCGGAAGAAGGUCCAUCCGUGCUGGUCAGGGUAAAGCAACAGAUAUCUCUCUAGUGUAGGCAUGCAGCCCCCUUUCACAGUCUGGCUGAAGGCUAGUCCCUGACCUUGGUGUCCAUGCACGUGGUCAAAACUGUCCAAGUCUUUCUCUAAGAGAGAAAAGGAGGACCAGUUAAAGACUCAUUAGGAAGCAUAAACGCAGCCUGGCUCACCACGUAAAAGUUUAUGACUUCAAUAUCCAGCUCAGCUGGGACCUGGAUGCUGUUUGCAGGAACUUCUACCGGCUUUUUCUGCCUUUAGUUCUCCACCUGCCAUUGCAAGGCACUGGUAGAACUUCCCCAAAUGAAGACGCUAGGCUUUUCGACACGUGGAUUUGAUGUGACUCAGCCAAGAAGACUUCUAACCCUGCUGCCCACUUAAACCUCGCUCUUGGGGUUCUGGAGACCACCGCCUCUCCAGCCCCUUCAUGGAAAAGGAAAGAGGUGCUGCCUUGACUCCCUCAUCAGCAGGCCAUUCUGGUUUUGAAUUUUUUACCCUCUGCAUGUAUAACUUAAAGAAAAAAAUCAGCAUGCUUCAAAGCAAAAAGGAAAAUGCCCUGGUGCUUGCAAAUAAACACGGAAGAAAGAGAAAGGAGUUUCUCGGCUCCUCCCUUUCCCCACAUGGCCAGCCCUCUCGGCAGUUCCCCUGUGCAGGGGAUCCUUUCUGGUCACCGGGGAAGGAGAGAGUGACAAGUCCGCGGGAGAGCUGCAGUAAUACAUCCCUCAAUAACGCACACCUCACGGAGCGCCUGGGUGGCUCAGUCGGUUAAGUGUCCGACUUUGGCUCAGGUCAUGAUCUGUUUGUGAGUUCGAGCCCCGCAUCGGGCUCUGUGCUGACAGCUCAGAGCCUGGAGCCUGCUUCGGAUUCUGUGUCUCCCUCUCUCUCUGCCCCUCCCCUGCUCAUGCUCUGUCUCUCUCUGUCUAAAAACUAAAUAAAAACAUUAACAAAAAUUAAAAAAAAAAGAACCUUGUUAGACUCCACGUCAGCUCCACACGUACAAACAACAGAUGUUGCGUAGAAUAUAAAAGUCAUGAAGCACGAUUGACAAAUGCCAUGUGUGAACCCACCAUGUCACUUGAGGACUAUGCACAGCGUUUUCUCCUCACCGUGACCUGUGAGGUCAGUAUGAUUGCUCCCAUUACAGACAACUCAAGGAGUCAAGUUCGCAGGAAACAGUGAGGGGCUGAGUCAGGAUUUACACGCUGUUGGUCUGAUGCCAAAGCCUGUGCCCUUCCUCUUCCCUCACUCGCUCUCUAGGGGUGAGAGUUCCCUGCCCACUCCGUCUGUGCCCUCAUUUUCUGUGGGACUGUAGACUCACCCCUCCCGAGGUGUCUGUACCCUGCUGAAUCACAGAGUUUGAAGGGGCUCCCGAUGCUGAGCUGGGUCACCCCAGGCUCUGGGUACCCUGUGGUGUCGAGGACGCAGAGGAGCCCUCAACGGUCUCGCUCCGUACCCCCUCAGCAGCCAAAUGGCGAUGUUGCGGCUGCCAAGAGCUGAAAACACCCACUUUAUCAGCCGUUUCCAGGUUUAGCACACAAAGCUGCUGGCCACAGGGAAAAGACUGGGGUUUGCAUCGUCCAUUGUUGGGUGACCUGGGCCAGGUGUCCAGAAGCUAAAGUUUGGUCCCCGUCAUUUGAUUUUCUCUCAUUCCCUCCCCCACCCCAUGCAAAUGGGGUACCGAUUGUUCCUGGCAAGCCAGGGGCUCAGUUCACUGAGGGAGGGAAGUCCCCUCCCAAGAGACCUGUUCUAAAGGGGGAGCGGGGUUCUUUUACCCUUGGCUCCCUGGCUGGCAUUUAAUGGGUACUGCAUUGCUGAGACUGAAAUACUUACAUUCCAGUUGGUACAUAGCUGCCCAAACCUCCCCGCCAAACCCCCCACCACUGUCCCAGUCACUCUCCCUGGGAACUCUGGGACAUCUCCCAGAUCCCACAACUACAGGGACAUCUCUGGGGCCUCCAGGACCCUGACCCACUGCCAAGGACAGUGCCCAUUCUGAGUGCUGAGGCUGUGCUGCUGGGGUCAUUAAAAUAUUUGAAUAUCCCCCCUCGUGGGACCUAUUGUCUCAGGGUUGAGGAAAGGCCAUUUUGAGGGAAGUUAGGGGUUCUGGGUUCAAGCUCUGUCUCCAGUAAGCCAUGUGACCUUGGACACACAGUCUUCUCCUCUCUGGGCCUCAGUUUCUUUACCUGUAAAACGAGGGCACUGGACCAGAUGAGUCCUAAAGGCUUUGAUAGAACCCUGUGAUUCCUCCCUCUCUCUCCCAAGCAAGUGUCUGGGGAGGGGGUGUAG